CCUAGCUGCAGUGAGCAACCAAAAGAUAGUUUUUCCGAGUUUUGACGGGUGCCGAGACGAGCUGACGAGUUGAGAGAGAGGAACUGUGCCUUGAUGUGGCGAGAGCGAGUGUGUGAGAACGUGUGCGAGUGGAGAGUUUCGCCAUCGAGGGCGAAACCAAAAAGCGCGUGACACCUCGCCCGCAGAUAAACAUUUCCCAGAGACUAGCGUGCGCUGCGCGGGUGUUUUCUACCUCGCUUGUUGCCUGUGCGACCGUUAAUAAGUCGUAGACAGACUUAGUGUAAAAUACACGUCGAGUGAUGUCACUCAUCAUUAAUGGACACUACAUGACUCCAAUGUGCCCCAACCAUAUCCGUACUAUCGAUAUCGUUGGCUAUCACAAUAUUUCACUCGUCCUGUUACAUGCCCUGCUGCUCUUGCACGUCCUGCUGAACACAGUACCCCAGCUGCUCCAGUUUAACCAGGUGCCAAAGCUACUGUAGUUAACCCAGAUACUAUAGCUACUUCAUCUGGUCGAGCUACAAUAGCUGCUCGCCGACCAUCAUUUUACGACUACGAGCAGUUAUUUACUGAUUUGCCUCCUGAUGGCCUAACGCCCCGAUGAAGCAUGCUCGAUAUGAAGAACUAACAACUUUACGAACUACUUCUUCAUCCGCUGGCUUCUCCCGACUAAUACGUUUAACACGCAGAGGACCGCAGGGCAACAACCUGAAUCGGUUGAUAGUGAUGCUAAAAGCAAAAGCAAACGAGAUUAUGGAUUCGUUAAUCCAGCGCGUGAAAGCUACACAUUCAUGGUACAGCAACGCGUGUUUGAGACAGCUUUUGAAGAUCAAAAUCAUAUUCCUUUCGAUAAUUUGCCAAUUAUUGUACGUCAGGAAGUCCAUGAGAAAUAGAUCAGGCAAGUUUAUUGGAAGAUAUCUAUGUUGUAAACGCUUUAUACGACGGCGACUCAAAUAAAAAAAAUAAAGAAGUAAAUUUUAAAUAAUUACAAGACAACAUAGAUCCUGAACUACUUUAAAAAAUAUGUCAACGAUAAGAAAGUACCCAUUCGAAUUUUCAUGUAAACACAAAUUUUGUACAAAAUGCAUUCAUUGCUGGUUAUCAAUAAAAAAAAUUUUCUUCUUUUCCGAAAAAACUUGGCUAUUUGAAAAAGUUUAAUAUCUGCGAUAAUGUCAUACGUUUUGUGGAUUCCGACUCAUCUGACAACUUCUAAACGAGGAAACAAAGUUUGUCUUAUCUUUUUUUUCGUAACUUUUAAUUUUUUAUUCAUGCUUUUAAUUAUUUUUAAAUAUUUACUCGAGAAUUUUUUCAUGCUUAAUUUGAAGCUUUUCUACGUCUUGACAUAUUUACUUACUUCAUUUUUAUUGUCUCUAAAUAAUUUUUUAGGAUAAACUCACUUUUUACACAAACUUUUGAGAAAACUACGUUUCCACGUAACAUAUGUAAUAUUGGUUUUUUAUUAUUUCAAAAUGGUCCGUUGUUUUUAAAAGUAUAAGUGAAGCAUAUUAUAUUUUUAGAACAGCAACUACUAUCGCUCGAUUUUAACGUAUUUAUUGAACAAAAUAUCGCACCGAUAUGACUGAUCAUUUGAUAUAAAAACAUGUUCCAUUUCGUCACCUUUCAGUAAACUACCAAAUUUAAUAAUAAGGUUGCUUUCGAAAUAAAAUAUUAAGAAUAAAUAAAGAUUCUGUGGUAACUGCAAAAACAAGGCUGUAGUAGAUUAUACUGUAGGAGAGGUAAUAACUUACGAACGAAAUGCCUAAAAAAUCGAAAAUUAAAUCAUGAUUUUCAUGAAUAAUUUUAACAUUAAGAGUCUAUCAUAAAACAAAUGUUUGUACUUCAUUUUUGAAAGAGAUUCUAGUAGUAAGUUUAUUAUAUUUGACCAUUUUGAAUGUCAUAAAAACAUAAUACUUGUCUACUUUCUUACUACAAUUUUUUAUAAAAGUUAGGCACACAGAAACAAAUUUUUAUAAAACACGUUUGUGUUAAUAAAUGUAUGCAUCGUUACGAAUGAACGCAUUGAGACUCACAAAUCUUGGUUACUUGACCCAUAGAUUUAGUCGUAUUAUACAACAUAUUAUGUAUUUACGAUUAUAUG